rnacentral:rRNA from 1 species
GUGCAGCAGUCGAGAAACCUCCGCAAUGCGGGAAACCGCGACGGGGGACCCCGAGUGCCGUGGCAACGCCACGGCUUUUCCGGAGUGUAAAAAGCUCCGGGAAUAAGGGCUGGGCAAGGCCGGUGGCAGCCGCCGCGGUAAUACCGGCGGCCCGAGUGGUGGCCGCUAUCAUUGGGCCUAAAGCGUCCGUAGCCGGGCCCGUAAGUCCCUGGCGAAAUCCCACGGCUCAACCGUGGGGCUUGCUGGGGAUACUGCGGGUCUUGGGACCGGGAGAGGCGGGGGGUACCCCUGGGGUAGGGGUGAAAUCCUAUAAUCCCAGGGGGACCGCCAGUGGCGAAGGCGCCCCGCUGGAACGGGUCCGACGGUGAGGGACGAAGGCCAGGGGAGCAAACCGGAUUAGAUACCCGUGUAGU